rnacentral:misc_RNA from 1 species
GUGAGUCAUCGAAUCUUUGAACGCACCUUGCGCUCCUUGGUAUUCCGAGGAGCAUGCCUGUUUGAGUGUCUUGAAGUCAUCAACCCCAUCCGUUUCGUGCGGGUGGUCCGGUUGGAUCUGGGGUGAAUGCUGCCGCGAGGCUGCUCCCCUGAAAUGUGUCGGUUGGACCAGCGGGUCAAACUCGACGGGCGUUGUACCAUCCUCGCUCGACCCCGAGACUCCCCUCGCGUCCUCCCAAGACCGGCCUGCAGAGUGGCCGUUCAAAGCCAAACUUUGAAAUCUGACCUCAAAUCAGGUAGGACUACCCGCUGAACUUAAGCAUAUCAAUAAGCGGAGGA